AUUGAACGCUGGCGGCAGGCCUAACACAUGCAAGUCGAACGAGUGGCGGACGGGUGAGUAAUGUCUGGGAAACUGCCCGAUGGAGGGGGAUAACUACUGGAAACGGUAGCUAAUACCGCAUACCAUCGGCGUUGCCCAGAUGGGAUUAGCUAGUCGGUGGGGUAACGGCUCACCUAGGCGACGAUCCCUAGCUGGUCUGAGAGGAUGACCAGCCACACUGGAACUGAGACACGGUCCAGACUCCUAAGGGAGGCAGCAGUGGGGAAUAUUGCACAAUGGGGGAAAGUCUGAUGCAGCCAUGCCGCGUGUAUGAAGAAGGCCUUCGGGUUGUAAAGUACUUGCAGCGAGGAGGCGUUACUCGCAGAAGAAGCAUCGGCUAACUACGUGCCAGCAGCCGCGGUAAUUC
rnacentral:rRNA from 1 species